GAGGAGAGAGCUGAAAUCAGCAUAAAUCAUGUUCCCUACAUCUCUACUGUUGCUUUUGGCAGGAAUGACCAGUGUGGAAUGUAACAUUAUCCUCACUCAGCCAAACUCUGUAGUUCUGCAGCCGGGACACUCAUUUACUCUCAAGUGUGAGGUGUCUGGAUAUUCUGUUACUGAUAAUAGUUAUGCAACAGCCUGGAUACGACAUCCUGCAGGAAAAGCUCUGGAGUGGAUUGUGCACAUAUGGGGAGGUGGAAGCAUAACCAAAAAAGACUCACUGGCAAACAAGUUCAGCAUCUCCAAAAGUGACUCCAGCAACACGGUGACUCUUAAUGGACAAAAUCUACAGUCUGAGGACACAGCUGUGUAUUACUGUGCCAGACGACCACAACAUGAGAAAACAGUACAAGCACUGUACAAGAACUACUAUAACAUCCAGUAUUUCUAAAU